AAAAGAGGUGUAUCUAAGGGAAUAGCAAGAGGCGACUCCAUAGAAAGAAGCAGGGUAGAGGCAAUUUCAACAUCUCAGAGAGAAUUGCCCUGAACGAGGGCAAUGCCAGCCAGCAUGGGGCUGAGAUUUGGAAGUAGAAUUGACAGGCUUUGAGGCUGCUUAGCGGUUGGCGCCAACAAGAAACUUGCUGAGCAGACUCCAGUGGACCUGCGAUAUAUGGGGACAAGUUUGAGGACCUCAGGCCAGCCUGAGAUGGAGAAGAGAUGGUCAGAGGGAAAGGAGAGCACAGAGCACACAAGAGUCAGCCACCUUGAACUGAUCAAAAGAGAGACACCAGGAACCAAGGCUAUGCUGUGUUUCCUCAUGAAAAGGGAUGUCAUGUUCCCUAACUUUGCGUUAUUCUGUGCAACAUACAUCCCAAAGUAUAUGGCUGUGUAUCAACUGCAAAAGGGUACUUACUGGGUGAGUGCCACUUUGGACAAGUUACUUAACUUCUCUGUGCCACAAUUGCUUCAUUUUUGUAGGAUGAAG
rnacentral:lncRNA from 10 species